CACGUAGGGCGCAAGCGUUGUCCGGAAUUAUUGGGCGUAAAGAGCUCGUAGGCGGUCUGUUGCGUCCGCUGUGAAAACUCGGGGCUUAACCCCGAGCCUGCAGUGGAUACGGGCAGACUAGAGGUAGGUAGGGGGAGAAUGGAAUUCCCGGUGUAGCGGUGAAAUUCGUAGAUAUUGGGAAGAACACCGGUGGCGAAGGCGGGUCUCUGGGCAGUAACUGACGCUGAGGAGCGAAAGCGUGGGGAGCGAACAGG
rnacentral:rRNA from 1 species